rnacentral:rRNA from 1 species
ACAAUGAAGAGUUUGAUCCUGGCUCAGGAUGAACGCUAGCUACAGGCUUAACACAUGCAAGUCGAGGGGCAGCAUUUCAGUUUGCUUGCAAACUGGAGAUGGCGACCGGCGCACGGGUGAGUAACACGUAUCCAACCUGCCGAUAACUCGGGGAUAGCCUUUCGAAAGAAAGAUUAAUACCCGAUGGCAUAAUUAGACCGCAUGGUCUUAUUAUUAAAGAAUUUCGGUUAUCGAUGGGGAUGCGUUCCAUUAGGCAGUUGGUGAGGUAACGGCUCACCAAACCUUCGAUGGAUAGGGGUUCUGAGAGGAAGGUCCCCACAUUGGAACUGAGACACGGUCCAAACUCCUACGGGAGGCAGCAGUGAGGAAUAUUGGUCAAUGGGCGCAGGCCUGAACCAGCCAAGUAGCGUGAAGGAUGACUGCCCUAUGGGUUGUAAACUUCUUUUAUAUGGGAAUAAAGUUUUCCACGUGUGGAAUUUUGUAUGUACCAUAUGAAUAAGGAUCGGCUAACUCCGUGCCAGCAGCCGCGGUAAUACGGAGGAUCCGAGCGUUAUCCGGAUUUAUUGGGUUUAAAGGGAGCGUAGGUGGACAGUUAAGUCAGUUGUGAAAGUUUGCGGCUCAACCGUAAAAUUGCAGUUGAUACUGGCUGUCUUGAGUACAGUAGAGGUGGGCGGAAUUCGUGGUGUAGCGGUGAAAUGCUUAGAUAUCACGAAGAACUCCGAUUGCGAAGGCAGCUCACUGGACUGCAACUGACACUGAUGCUCGAAAGUGUGGGUAUCAAACAGGAUUAGAUACCCUGGUAGUCCACACAGUAAACGAUGAAUACUCGCUGUUUGCGAUAUACAGUAAGCGGCCAAGCGAAAGCAUUAAGUAUUCCACCUGGGGAGUACGCCGGCAACGGUGAAACUCAAAGGAAUUGACGGGGGCCGCACAAGCGGAGGAACAUGUGGUUUAAUUCGAUGAUACGCGAGGAACCUUACCCGGGCUUAAAUUGCAUUUGAAUAUAUUGGAAACAGUAUAGCCGUAAGGCAAAUGUGAAGGUGCUGCAUGGUUGUCGUCAGCUCGUGCCGUGAGGUGUCGGCUUAAGUGCCAUAACGAGCGCAACCCUUAUCUUUAGUUACUAACAGGUCAUGCUGAGGACUCUAGAGAGACUGCCGUCGUAAGAUGUGAGGAAGGUGGGGAUGACGUCAAAUCAGCACGGCCCUUACGUCCGGGGCUACACACGUGUUACAAUGGGGGUACAGAAGGCAGCUACCUGGUGACAGGAUGCUAAUCCCAAAAGCCUCUCUCAGUUCGGAUCGAAGUCUGCAACCCGACUUCGUGAAGCUGGAUUCGCUAGUAAUCGCGCAUCAGCCAUGGCGCGGUGAAUACGUUCCCGGGCCUUGUACACACCGCCCGUCAAGCCAUGAAAGCCGGGGGUACCUGAAGUACGUAACCGCAAGGAGCGUCCUAGGGUAAAACUGGUAAUUGGGGCUAAGUCGUAACAAGGUAGCCGUACCGGAAGGUGCGGCUGGAACACCUCCUUU